GGGUUUUUUAUUUUGUACUUCAAACCUUAAAUUUAUUUUUUAUAUUUUUUUAAUGUUCAUGUUUUUGAAUGUUUGAUUUAAAAAUAAUGUAAAAAAUAAAAUAGAUAUUGACAUGGAUUGAACAAAAGAUAUAUAUUAUUCUAUGUUGCAUAAACAAAUUGGCAAAGUAGAGAUGGAAGAUAAAAAUAUGGU
rnacentral:misc_RNA from 1 species